rnacentral:tRNA from 1 species
AGCAUCGGUGGUUCAGUGGUAGAAUGCUCGCCUGCCAGGCGGGCGGCCCGGUUUCGAUUCUCGGCCAUUCUCGGCUU